rnacentral:rRNA from 1 species
UACAGAGGUCUCAAGCGUUGUUCGGAUUCAUUGGGCGUAAAGGGUGCGUAGGCGGCGCGGUAAGUCGGGUGUGAAAUCUCGGAGCUUAACUCCGAAACUGCAUUCGAUACUGCCGUGCUUGAGGACUGGAGAGGAGACUGGAAUUUACGGUGUAGCGGUGAAAUGCGUAGAUAUCGGGAGGAACACCGGUGGCGAAGGCAGGUCUCUGGGCCACUACUGACGCUGAGAAGCGAAAGCAUGGGGAGCGAACAGG